GCUGGCGGCAGGCCUAACACAUGCAAGUCGAGCGGAAACGAGUUAUCAGAACCUUCGGGGAACGAUAACGGCGUCGAGCGGCGGACGGGUGAGUAAUGCCUAGGAAAUUGCCCUGAUGUGGGGGAUAACCAUUGGAAACGAUGGCUAAUACCGCAUGAUGCCUACGGGCCAAAGAGGGGGACCUUCGGGCCUCUCGCGUCAGGAUAUGCCUAGGUGGGAUUAGCUAGUUGGUGAGGUAAGGGCUCACCAAGGCGACGAUCCCUACCUGGUCUGAAAGGAUGAUCAGCCACACUGGAACUGACACACGGUCCAGACUCCUACGGGAGGCAGCACUGGGGAAUAUUGCACAAUGGGCGCAAGCCUGAUGCAGCCAUGCCGCCUGUGUGAAGAAGGCCUUCCCGUUGUUUAACACUUUCAGUCGUGAGGAAGGUNGUGUAGUUAAUAGCUGCAUUAUUUGACGUUAGCGACAGAAGAAGCACCGGCUAACUCCGUGCCAGCAGCCGCGGUAAUACGGAGGGUGCGAGCGUUAAUCGGAAUUAC
rnacentral:rRNA from 1 species